CACACACUAUUCUUGAAACAUUGUUGAGGAAACAUCUCCAAGCUUACAAACUCGAAAGUUAUUUCAAGUCAAGAAAUAUGGCCAAAAUACUGUUGAUGUUUAUCGUUCUAACAUGCCUGAUCGCAACUAUUACACCAGCGGUUCAUGACUAUUCAUGCUACUCAUCAGGAUGUAGCAAGGUUAAAGGUCGAUGCACAAAGGAUGGGGGCUAUUGUGAUGGAUAUACAUGUCACACAUAUGCGUUCGUUGAAGGGACUGGAUGUUACCCAUCAAACCCCCGCCCAUGCAGCGAAUCGAAAAAUAACACUGUUUAAAUGCAUUGGUUAUUGAUGUUAAAAGCAAUUAAGUUGUUUGAACACACUACGCUUGUAAAGAAAAAAAAAAUUCUUUUAAAUAAUAAUAAAAAAAUUUGUUGAAAA